CAUAGACAUUUGUUGCAUACCGUUUUGGUACAUGCGGCGGAAUUAAUGAAUACCAAAAAUUACGGUCUGAGUAUCAAAAAAAAAAAAAAAUUACGGUCUGCCUGGCAGGAUACGCCGAACGUCUAGCCGUACCAUUCAUCCAGUCCCCCAAGAUCCAGAAAAGUGGCGGCGCAUCGAGGGCGGCGGCCGGACCGUCGGCGGAGAUAGGUGGCUCCACGCUUCCCUCUAGGAAGACAAGGCGGCGGCCUAUCCCGCUGGAGGACAGCAGCGGCGCAUCGGGGCGGCGGCAUCUCGUUUCCACGGCCGGCUCCUUCGGCUUUGUCGCCCCCGUUAUCGGACAGGAGAUCGAGCCACAUCGGGCCGGAGCGAGCUGCCGAAGAAGGAGAUUCAGCACGCCGGCAGCUCAAGAUCUGCUGUGCUCAUCGCUGGCCGCAGUUGUGAAUUGUGGACAGCCUCGGUGCUGUGGCCAUCGUGCAACCGCUGCCGGAGCGGGAGAAGGUGGUGCCGCUGGUGUCUGCCUUGUCGCUCGCCACGCACCACGACUGGUACUCCUUCAUCGUCCUCGUCCAGGAUAUGGAUAAUGCAGUCUGCCAAGGCAUAGCGAGAUUACGGGGCUGCAUUGAAGAACAUUUUAAGAAAAGGACUGCCUUUCACAUACAAUAUAUUUGAUUUGUCAGCUCGGCGUUUGGGUCACAUUGAUCAUUAGAUUGUGGACGUGGGAUGAUGCUUUGCUUUUCCACAUCUUUGAAUCUGAUUUUUUGUAAAAUCCUAUUAAUAUGGCGGAUUCAUUUGUUGUAGUCCUGAUUCUCAUGACUAACUCUUACCAUUUCCUUUUCCUUACAUGUCAAUCCAUGACCAAUCAAUCUUUGCAUGAUGGUACUUGUGCAUGUGAUAUUUCAAAUUGUAUAAACUCCAUUUCACCUAUUGU